rnacentral:RNase_P_RNA from 2 species
GACACAGACCGCCUUAUCGCCACGUUAUAUACGUGGAGGAAAGUCCGGACACCAAAGGGAAGCAUAGCGGGUAACACCCGUCGGUUCGCCACGGCGAAUUAGGACAAGUGCAACAGAAAGUAUGUACAGGUAAUGCUGUAGUGAAACCAGGUAAACUCUAUGCGGUGAAAUAUCAAGUAUAUCAGCAUUUAAGGGCUUCUCGUCCGUUGUUGAAGGGUAGAUAGCUUGAGUCACAUAGUAAUAUGUGAUCUAGAUAAAUGAUAAGGCUCCAAUUUAUUGGAGACAGAAUCCGGCUUAUAGGUCUGUUUUUUUU